GUYGAUGGAAGCCCCGGCUCAACCGGGAGGGUCAUKGGAACKGGGGAUYUGAGUGCAGAAGAGGAGAGUGAAUUCCRCGGGUAGCGGKGAAAUGSGUAGRGAUKKGGAGGAACRCCAGUGGCGARGGCGACUCUCUGGUCUGUAACUGACGCUGAGGGAGYGAAAAGCGUGGGGGAGCGAACAGGAUUAGAUWCCCUGGUAGUCCACGCCGUAAACGAUGAGUGYUAAGUGUUAGGGGGUUUCSGSCCSUUAGUGCUGCAGCUAACGCAUUAAGCACUCCGCCUGGGGAGUACGGUCGCAAGACUGAAACUCAAAGGAAUUGACGGGGGCCCGCACAAGCGGUGGAGCAUGUGGUUUAAUUCGAAGCAACGCGAAGAACCUUACCAGGUCUUGACAUCCUCUGACAAUCCUAGAGAUAGGRCGUCCCCUUCGGGGGCAGAGUGACAGGUGGUGCAUGGUUGUSGUCAGCUCGUGUCGUGAGAUGUUGGGUUAAGUCCCGCAACGAGCGCAACCCUUGAUCUUAGUUGCCAGCAUUCAGUUGGGCACUCUAAGGUGACUGCCGGUGACAAACCGGAGGAAGGUGGGGAUGACGUCAAAUCAUCAUGCCCCUUAUGACCUGGGCUACACACGUGCUACAAUGGACAGAACAAAGGGCAGCGAAACCGCGAGGUUAAGCCAAUCCCACAAAUCUGGGGUCAGUUCGGAUCG
rnacentral:rRNA from 1 species